rnacentral:rRNA from 1 species
AUUGAACGCUGGCGGCAGGCCUAACACAUGCAAGUCGAGCGGAUGAAGGGAGCUUGCUCCUGGAUUCAGCGGCGGACGGGUGAGUAAUGCCUAGGAAUCUGCCUGGUAGUGGGGGAUAACGUCCGGAAACGGGCGCUAAUACCGCAUACGUCCUGAGGGAGAAAGUGGGGGAUCUUCGGACCUCACGCUAUCAGAUGAGCCUAGGUCGGAUUAGCUAGUUGGUGGGGUAAAGGCCUACCAAGGCGACGAUCCGUAACUGGUCUGAGAGGAUGAUCAGUCACACUGGAACUGAGACACGGUCCAGACUCCUACGGGAGGCAGCAGUGGGGAAUAUUGGACAAGGGGCGAAAGCCUGAUCCAGCCAUGCCGCGUGUGUGAAGAAGGUCUGCGGAUUGUAAAGCACUUUAAGUUGGGAGGAAGGGCAGUAAGUUAAGACCUUGCUGUUUUGACGUUACCAACAGAAUAAGCACCGGCGAACUUCGU